rnacentral:rRNA from 1 species
UUUAGUGGCGAACGGGUGAGUAACGCGUAAGCAAUCUGCCCCUAAGACGAGGAUAACAGUUGGAAACGACUGCUAAGACUGGAUAGGAGACAAGAGGGCAUCUUCUUGUUUUUAAAAGACCUAGCAAUAGGUAUGCUUAGGGAGGAGCUUGCGUCACAUUAGUUAGUUGGUGGGGUAAAGGCCUACCAAGACUAUGAUGUGUAGCCGGGCUGAGAGGUUGAACGGCCACAUUGGGACUGAGACACGGCCCAAACUCCUACGGGAGGCAGCAGUAGGGAAUUUUCGGCAAUGGAGGAAACUCUGACCGAGCAACGCCGCGUGAACGAUGAAGUAUUUCGGUACGUAAAGUUCUUUUAUUAGGGAAGAAUAAAUGAUGGAAAAAUCAUUCUGACGGUACCUAAUGAAUAAGCCCCGGCUAACUAUGUGCCAGCAGCCGCGGUAAUACAUAGGGGGCAAGCGUUAUCCGGAAUUAUUGGGCGUAAAGGGUGCGUAGGCGGUUAAAUAAGUUUAUGGUCUAAGUGCAAUGCUCAACAUUGUGAUGCUAUAAAAACUGUUUAGCUAGAGUAAGAUAGAGGCAAGUGGAAUUCCAUGUGUAGUGGUAAAAUGCGUAAAUAUAUGGAGGAACACCAGUAGCGAAGGCGGCUUGCUGGGUCUUUACUGACGCUGAGGCACGAAAGCGUGGGGAGCAAACAGGAUUAGAUACCCUGGUAGUCCACGCCGUAAACGAUGAGUACUAAACGUUGGGUAAAACCAGUGUUGAAGUUAACACAUUAAGUACUCCGCCUGAGUAGUACGUACGCAAGUAUGAAACUUAAAGGAAUUGACGGGACUCCGCACAAGCGGUGGAUCAUGUUGUUUAAUUCGAAGGUACCCGAAAAACCUCACCAGGUCUUGACAUGCUUCUGCAAAGCUGUAGAAACACAGUGGAGGUUAUCAGUUGCACAGGUGGUGCAUGGUUGUCGUCAGCUCGUGUCGUGAGAUGUUGGGUUAAGUCCCGCAACGAGCGCAACCCUUAUUGUUAGUUACCAGCACGUAAUGGUGGGGACUUUAGCAAGACUGCCAGUGAUAAAUUGGAGGAAGGUGGGGACGACGUCAAAUCAUCAUGCCCCUUAUGACCUGGGCUACAAACGUGAUACAAUGGCUGUUACAAAGGGUAGCUGAAGCGCAAGUUUUUGGCGAAUCUCAAAAAAACAGUCUCAGUUCGGAUUGAAGUCUGCAACUCGACUUCAUGAAGUUGGAAUCGCUAGUAAUCGCGAAUCAGCAUGUCGCGGUGAAUACGUUCUCGGGGUUUGUACACACCGCCCGUCAAACCACGAAAGUUGGCAAUACCCAAAGCCGGUGGCCUAACUUCGCAAGAAGAGGGAACCGUCUAAGGUAGGGUCGAUGAUUGGGGUUAAGUCGUAACAAGGUAUCCCUACCGGAAGGUGGGGAUGGAUCACCUCCUUUCU